CGAUGGUGCAAGGUCUGCAGAGUAUGGAGGAUACGUUUUGUGAUAAUGGCUUCUUUAAGUUUUUCGAGCUGAUUGCAAUAUUUUUCACUGUUGAUCGUUUGUCCUUCCGGAAGUACUUGGUAGUAGAGAAUACCCUUUCAGUCCCACCAAAUUGAAAGCAGCACCUUCUUCGGGCGAAGUCCUGGUCUUGCUACCGUUGGAGGACACUUAUCUCGACUCGACCAAGAUCGCUUGCGUGCAGUGUUGUCGUAGAGAAUGCAACUUUCAUCCCCAGUAAUUAACUUUUUUAAAAAUGACUCUCUUUUGUUGCGUUGAAUUAGCAAAUCGCAUGUCAAGAUUCGAUUCAGGAGAUUGCUCUCCGUCAGUUGAUGGGGGCCCACACCUCGUAGCGAUUAACGUACCCAAGCUUUGUUAAAUGCUCGUGAAUCGUUGUUCGCGGAAUAUUUAAAGCAUCUGCUAUCUCACGAACACUAGACCUUGGGUUUUCAUCGAGGUAGGCCUUGAUAAGGUCACUAUAAGUCAUAAGUCAUAAAGUCAGUAAGGACGUCCGCUGCGAUCUUCAUCUUCCAGAUUAAAAUCUGGACUGUUUGAACAGUUAUAGACCGAUCACUAUAAUCGUCACAAAUCUCCUUUAGAGUGUUUUUAGGCGUAUUGUCUUUUCUUGAAACAGUGAAACAUAACGCGACGAAAAUGCAUCUUUUGGUCUUCCAUCUUUCCCCACGCAAAAAUCACUCGAUACACUUCCUAUAAUAGUUGAGACACGCCAUUCUAAACAAGUGUAUUCCGAUCUGUAUGUUGUAUAUCUUUACGUCUAAAAGAUCGUUUUAAACAAUGCAUUGUACAGAAAAUUAUAAAAACAAUUAGAUACGAAUGCAAUGUCUGGUAAUUAGAAACGGAUCGUUCCACCUUGCGAUUAUAUUAUUCGUCUAAUCUGAAAAGAAUCUUAGCAAAUUACAUAUUAAUGCAUUUUAUAGCAUCGAUUUAAUGCUAUAUAUGUAAAUGUAUCUAUGUAUGUAUUUAUAUGUACGUAUAUAAAUUAGAAAAUAUGCUGAAAUAUGUCGACGAAAUAUCCAUCAAAUAAUAUAGAAUAUACGUAAAGCGUGGUAAGUACGCAAUGAACGAAGCUGCUGAAUUUAGAUUCGCGUGCACAGCAAUAACGGAUGAAGUUCGGUUGUUCUUCGUCAACACCAGCAUCCCCAUUAUCCAUUACCUUGUUUUGUUUCCUCGAUGCAUCGUCCCUUUGUUAUUUCAUGUUUGUCACGAUAUGCUGAACAAGAUAUAUCUACAUACGUAUAAUCGUACAUGUCAAAAAGGCUAGAGAAAAGGUUCCUAUAAUUCUCAACGAAUGGAUUUUCGGAAAUCCACUUCAGGAAUUAUUUACAGUAAAUAAACGACUCCUAUUUCUCCUAACCGAUGAAGAGAAACAACAACAAGAACAACAACGACACAGUUCUAAUUGAUUUUUCUAUUGUAUUUAUUCUCUAUUAAAUAUAACAAGACUCCUACAAUGUCCGGCGCGUUUCAGAUAACCUUUUAUAUAAUUACCGAACAAUAUCGAUAACGAAGAAUGCUAAUAUAAUAGAAACGCCUAAAGGCGUAAAAUAUACAUCGCGUAAUAUCUUUGUUACUUCUAAUUGGUCGAACGGAGUACACAUGUAUACCAUUAGAAUUGUCGUGAAUACGCCAUAGGAGUACAUAAUAGCAUGGAAGAGAAAUAACAUCGAACGAUGUGAUAAAGACAUUCGUGUAUCGUCGAAACCUUUCGCAGUGCCGUGUUGUUGCGAUCUUUGUACAAUUUUUUCUUACACAACAUUGAUGCUUUUAGUAUGAAUUAUUCGCAACUAUCGAAGAUCGACGUGUUUCACUUACAUUAGCUAUGGUCGCAAGAAUGAAACGUAAAUUAAGCGAAUUGCCUUGCGAGAAUUAAACGACUAACGCUGUAAAAUAAUUCCGAAAUAUCAGAAACUUGUAUGUUUUCAAACUAACUAUCACACAUGUUAUCAUGAUUUGUGCGUAUGCACAUGCACACCCGCACACCUUGUAUGUGUAUAAGAGAGUACCGAUUAUUAUGCAUCUCGUAUCACCUAAGUUUUAUCGUUGAACGUUUGUAUUACUACAGAUAUUAUGCGUUUCACUUGUCUUAUUAAAAUAUCAACGUGAAUUGUACGUAAAAUGUACGUGAAAUGUACGUGAUUUCUAGCCUCUUUCACGAUUUUUGUUAUUCGUCAUUAAACAGAUUCGUUUAUGAUCAUUUAACGCGUGCAUUACAUUUCACUUAACGACAUUUACUUUGUUUAGAUAAAAAUUACAAUGCGUUUUCUCGAUUUACCUACAUACAUACGUUGAGUUCGUAGACUGACGAAAACGAUGCGAUUAAUAUUCCUAUUAAAGAGCAUUGCAAACUGAAAUUACAAAUAUAGGAUGUACGUUCUAAACUAAAUGAUCUCGAAUCUCAGCGAAACGUCGGAUACACGUAUAAAGAAAAUAUUAAUUGUUUCGCGCAAAUGAAAUUUUCGAGUUCAUACAACGUGUAAAAGAUAUUUCAUUGUCGUUUCUUUCGUUCAGGAAACAAUUGCAAUGUACGUCGAAAAUUUUCAAUGAUAUUACGUUUUUAUUUAGGAGAAAUAAUAACGUCACGGGUUCAUUCAUAAACUUCCUGUCCUGUAUAUAACGUAUGUAUGUACCUAUACAUUAAUAGUAAAGCUGCAAAAUCGAUUAAAAGUCAUCAAUUUUUAAAAGAAACAACAGUUACUCGAUAGAUGCGUAUUUCAUGAAAAUAAAUAUGGAAAAAAAAAAAGAAAAGACAGGAGAUUGAAUGAUAAACAUUCGAACGUCGAUAAAUACAUUUGCUUAAAAAAUCAGUGAGUAAGAAAGCUCGACAAUAUACCAAUAUACCGUCAAAUGAAAACGAAAACGAGGAAAGAUGAAAUAAGGAGGAGGAGGUGAAGGAUAAGGAACAAGAACGCGAUAAGUCGAAAUGUCUCAGCUACGUUUCAACCUAUUUUCAUUGUUUACUGUUGCAUAAGCUUUUAUAUAAAAAUGAACAACGGAUCGGAGUGGCUUUUCGGCACGCCGAAUUCAACGAUCAUUAUUAUUUAAGUGUCAGGUGGAAAAGAGAAGUGCGUUUGUUAUACUUAUGUAAUAAAUUCAUUUGCAAUUCUCUUACGGGCCAAUAUUCUCCACUAAUCUCCCCUCGAUGAACGUUUACGCAUAAUAGAAGAGAAAUGCAUGAUGAUCUGUAACUACAUAUUACAGUUCCAUAACGAGAUUCAUCAAUAAUACCAUUGUACAAGCCGAUCGAAUUAUUUAUAAAUUGUAUAAGAACUGUGUAAUUGGAAAUUUACGUUUCCGUUGUCAUUUUUUAUUUAGAUUCAAAUAUUAUCACGUAAAACGCAUAAAACGUACAAUAUCUAUUUAAGAAAAAGGAAAAUAGUUAAAAUUAUUCAAGGAAACGCGAAAUCAGUUUUUUUGCUUUAUUUAAUUCGGCUACGUCUUUUGGAUCAGUAUCGACGUAAUCGUAUUACUUCGGUGUUAAACAAUUUCUUGACUUUGGAAAUGACACGAAAGAGAUGUCAAUACGCGUGAUUUCUUGUCCCAAUUUUAUCUCAAAAUACAUAUAUAUAUGUGUAUAUAUAUAUAUAUAUAUAUAUAUAUAUAUAUAUAUAUAUAUAUAUAUAUGUAUAUAUAUAUAUUUACAAGCCUUCCUGUUUCUUGAAAUGACAGCCAAAUUGGAACGUAGAUGAAAAUCGGGGCGAUCAUGAGCAGGGUUAAAUCAAUAAGUAGAAGUUGCAUGCACUCAGCGAAGAAAUGUUCAUUUCUAGAAGAAAAUUAUAUGUGAAAGAAACUGAAGGAAAACUUUAUAGAUUCUUUUUACUGGGAACGUAAAUUUCAAAAGUAAAGUCGCUUCAGCGAUUGCAUCGAAUUAACGCUGUAAUAUUAUUUGUAAUUGAACGAAUGUGUUUGGAAGAGAAUAGUACAAUAGUUAAUCGAAUGGUAAUUUUUUAAGUUUGUGAAUAGCUGUAUAAAGAAUUUACUUAUAUCUACGAUGCACUUUACAUAAGAUAUGCGGACAAUCUCUGCAUGACGAAACAAAUGUAUGAGUGUUAUCUUUUCUUUCGUUUGCGUAAAAUACACAUGUUUAUGUUUAUCAGAACGCGAUCCUAUUUGUUUCGAUAAGUAAGUAGGAACGAAGAAAUUGAAACUGAAUUUUCAAAGAAACAAUAAAAGCUUAACUAAUAUGGUAUAUAUGUACAUAAUAACAUCUUGUCAAUUUUGUUUAAAAAUUUCUGAUACGAAUGAUAACAUAGAAAUUUACGAAAGUUGUGAUGACAGUGUAUUUUUUUAACGUUGCUGACCAUCAAAUAUACAAUUAGUAUACGAACGAUCUUCUGUCUAACUUUAUACUUAAACAUUUUUUUCUAAUAAACGAAAAAUUUCAUUCUCUUAAUUUAACAUUUGACAAUAAAACUUUUAACGAUAUGUCUUAUUAUCGAACACAAAGCAGUCGUUCCUACUUUUAUCUCUUAAUAUAAAAACGCAUGCACGCGUGCUCAAACCAGAAAGAUAAGAUUUGAAGCACAAAAUCGAGAAAUUACGAGCUUCUCAUUUGCUACAUUUUUCUUUUUUAUUUUGACCUCCAUAAUGAUAACUAUUUAAGAAGUAAAAAUAAGGGAGUAAGACGCGAUGGAUAUCUGUCUGUACGAAAUGAAGAACCUUCGUAUCCUAACUAAAUGACAAUUCAACUGGUCGGAACAUUGUGAACACUUCCUAAGAAAACUUCCAAAUAUUCGACUAUUAUUAUAGUUUAUUGUAUGUAUUAGCGCGAAGAACUGAAGAGGAAUUCGGCCUGCUGAUCGCUCCGUCCGUAUCGCACUUUGUAAUUAUGUACUGUAAAUAUUCAACGACGAAUAUGUUAGCAAAUACACGCGCAUUGUGUGAUUGUAAAUAUCAGACGUGAAGAAGAUGUUUGUUAAAUAUAGAAUACGUUACGUUUUUCAAA